GUUAAUAUUUCACUGUCUGUUGUCAAGGUGAUAUGAAUAGACAUCGAAAUAUUUACA
rnacentral:pre_miRNA from 1 species